AUGGACAUGAAAAGUGAAACCAAGAAAGAAAUCAUUCCUUAACCACAAAGAUUUUGAGCGGAACCUAAAUAGCUCUCAUGGCCGAAUGGGAUGCAGUAUGCCAGAAAGAACACAAGUCUCAGGAGGACAAGCCUGGGUACAACUCAUCAGGAGAAAGGAAGACAAAAUGUUGUCCAAGGACAACAAAGAAAGGGGAAGGAGGCUUCAUGAAUAUGUUCUGGAGGGCCUUGGGCUGCUGUGGACUCCUCUCAGCUUGCUAUGAACCUAAGACAUCUCAGCCCUGAUGAUAGGGAAUUUGCACAAAGGCAAUUACAUGAUCUGCUCUCCAUCUGUUGGUAUUCAAUGGUGUGAGAAAAGAACAUCCCAACAUUAUCUUUAUUCUCUUUAAACAAAUUUAUGUAAUAAGGGAGACUACUUGGCAUCUACAUGAGCAAGUUUAUGUAAAUACUUUAUCUUCCAUGGAAAAUUAAUAUAAUUCUUGGGUUUUGAUGGCA
rnacentral:sRNA from 1 species